ACAUCCAGAGAAUUUAGCAGAGAUGCUUUAGUGCCUUCGGGAACUCUGAGACAGGUGCUGCAUGGCUGUCGUCAGCUCGUGUUGUGAAAUGUUGGGUUAAGUCCCCGNAACGAGCGCAACCCUUAUCCUUUGUUGCCAGCACGUAAUGGUGGGAACUCAAAGGAGACUGCCGGUGAUAAACCGGAGGAAGGUGGGGAUGACGUCAAGUCAUCAUGGCCCUUACGAGUAGGGCUACACACGUGCUACAAUGGCGCAUACAAAGAGAAGCGACCUCGCGAGAGCAAGCGGACCUCAUAAAGUGCGUCGUAGUCCGGAUUGGAGUCUGCAACUCGACUCCAUGAAGUCGGAAUCGCUAGUAAUCGUAAAUCAGAAUGUUACGGUGAAUACGUUCCCGGGCCUUGUACACACCGCCCGUCACACCAUGGGAGUGGGUUGCAAAAGAAGUAGAUAGCUUAACCUUCGGGAGGGCGUUUACCACUUUGUGAUUCAUGACUGGGGUGAAGUCGUAACAAGGUAGGCGUAGUGCU
rnacentral:rRNA from 1 species